GUGAAUCAUCAAAUUUUUGAACGCACAUUGCGCUUCCUGGCAUCCCGUGAAGUAUGCCUGUUUGAGGGUCAUUAUUAAUUAAAAAUCGGUUUAGUUACAAAUUGUUUCGCUUCCGGAGUUGGGGCUAUCUUAACAUUUUUGGUUAAGAGGCUUAAAAUUGACCUUUUUUGCGCAUUUUUAUACGUACAUACAUUUUUUUUAUUCGUCUAUUCUU
rnacentral:misc_RNA from 1 species